CCAAUGUUUGCUUCAGGAAUGUUCAGGCUCACACCUCUGUGAAGAAUAUCCAGGACUAGGAAAGAGGUUUCGGCCUACACUGCAUCUGAAUGAAGUGGAGCUCACACUGUGGUACUGAUUAUUUCAGGGUUCAUUAUUUUUCAGAGGAUGGGUCUUUCUGCCCUGCAGGGAUCUAUCUAUCACUGCUGACUCUCUGCAUCUUCUCCACAUGGAAGAAGUAAUUGGAUUGUAUUUUCUGCACACGACCAAGACAGCAGGGAAACCCACAGCUGUAAGACAGAGAACCAAGCUGUCUAGAGAGUAAGUACCUGAUGCCUAAGAAAAUGAAAUGUCUGGGUCUAACCACAAGAUCUUUCCUUUCUUUCCAUGGAGGAGCUGAGACAUGCUGA
rnacentral:lncRNA from 14 species